AUGUUGAGCUUAUCUCAGAUUAUGGAAGUAUCUACAUUCAAGAUCGAGGAGUACAAGAUAUGUCAGCCUGCACUUUUGGACCAAAACAGUUUUACAUGGGCUUCUCAGGAGGAAAAGGAAACCCCACCUAAACUUUUAGCUUUCCGUAUAUUUCUGAGUUCUAAUUCAUGUGCAAGCUCCCGCCUGGCCGCCAAAGAGCCCUCUGUCUUCAUUGAUAUGACUACUAGGGCUGUCAGGGGAAAAGCCGCGCGCCUCACUGCCUCGGACGUCGCAAAGGCUCUCAAGGACGCCAUCCACAACACCCAGCUCGAUGUCCCUGAAGCCCCGUCUGCUUCUGCCGCAUCCCUUGCGGAGAUUGCUGCACUGUGCGGGGCUGACGGCGAUGCUGUUGCUUCCGUUGCUCACGCUGAUGACAGCAGCGACGACGGCGGUGCUGACGCUCUGCCAUGA
rnacentral:rRNA from 1 species